rnacentral:tRNA from 1 species
GUAGACAUAGUUUAAAACAAAACAUUAGAUUGUGAUUCUGAAAAUAGGGGUUAAACCCCCCUUGCCCACC